GGAAUCUUCCACAAUGGACGCAAGUCUGAUGGAGCAACGCCGCGUGAGUGAAGAAGGGUUUCGGCUCGUAAAGCUCUGUUGUUAAAGAAGAACGUGGGUAAGAGUAACUGUUUACCCAGUGACGGUAUUUAACCAGAAAGCCACGGCUAACUACGUGCCAGCAGCCGCGGUAAUACGUAGGUGGCAAGCGUUAUCCGGAUUUAUUGGGCGUAAAGCGAGCGCAGACGGUUGAUUAAGUCUGAUGGGAAAGCCCGGAGCUCAACUCCGGAAUGGCAUUGGAAACUGGUUAACUUGAGUGCAGUAGAGGUAAGUGGAACUCCAUGUGUAGCGGUGGAAUGCGUAGAUAUAUGGAAGAACACCAGUGGCGAAGGCGGCUUACUGGACUGUAACUGACGUUGAGGCUCGAAAGUGUGGGUAGCAAACA
rnacentral:rRNA from 1 species